AACGAACGCUGGCGGCGUGGAUAAGGCAUGCAAGUCGAACGGGAGCUCAUGGGUAGCAAUAUUCGUGAGUUCUAGUGGCGAAAGGGUGCGUAACACGUAGCUUACCUACCUCAAAGUGGGGGACAGUCCCGCGAAAGCGGGGUUAAUACCGCAUGUGAUCGAGAGAUCAAAGCCGGGGAUUCGCAAGGACCUGGCGCUUUGAGAUGGGGCUGCGGCCUAUCAGGUAGUUGGCGGGGUAAUGGCCCACCAAGCCUAAGACGGGUAGCUGGUCUGAGAGGACGACCAGCCACACUGGAACUGAGACACGGUCCAGACACCUACGGGAGGCAG
rnacentral:rRNA from 1 species